AUUGAACGCUGGCGGCAGGCCUAACACAUGCAAGUCGAACGAGUGGUGGACGGGUGAGUAAUGUCUGGGAAACUGCCUGAUGGAGGGGGAUAACUACUGGAAACGGUAGCUAAUACCGCAUACCAGCAGAUGUGCCCAGUUGGGAUUAGCUAGUUGGAGGGGUAACGGCUCACCAGGGCGACGAUCCCUAGCUGUUCUGAGAGGAUGACCAGCCAGACUGGAACUGCGACACGGUCCAGACUCCUACGGGAGGAAGCAGUGGGGAAUAUUGCAUAAUGGGCGCAAGCCUGAUGUAGCCAUGCCGUGUGUAUGAAGAAGGCCUUCGGGUUGUAAAGUACGUUCAGCGGGGAGGCGUUACCCGCAGAAGAAGCACCGGCUAACUCCGUGCCAGCCGCCGCGGUAAUAC
rnacentral:rRNA from 1 species